UCCCCGUGAGGGGGUGCCUGCGGAGGGAUCAUU
rnacentral:rRNA from 1 species